rnacentral:misc_RNA from 1 species
UUAAGUUCAGCGGGUAUCCUUGUCUGAUCUGAGGUCAAAACUUCAUGCCUCCCCCAGUGGGGGAGACGUUAAGGUUUAACGCCGCAAAGCAGUUUACCAGCAGGCUUUUUGGAAGAUUGUCACACCACUCCAUUGACCUGGCUAGAAGGGGCUUGCGGUCGUGCAGCAAGUUUAGGGAGGGUGCAGGGGGGAUGAAAUAA